CAAGUCGAACGAUGAACCCCGCUUGCGGGGGGAUUAGUGGCGAACGGGUGAGUAACACGUGAGUAACCUGCCCUUAACUCUGGGAUAAGCCUUGGAAACGGGGUCUAAUACUGGAUAUUGACUUUUCCUCGCAUGGGGAUUGGUUGAAAGAUUUAUUGGUUUUGGAUGGACUCGCGGCCUAUCAGCUUGUUGGUGAGGUAAUGGCUCACCAAGGCGACGACGGGUAGCCGGCCUGAGAGGGUGACCGGCCACACUGGGACUGAGACACGGCCCAGACUCCUACGGGAGGCAGCAGUGGGGAAUAUUGCACAAUGGGCGAAAGCCUGAUGCAGCGACGCCGCGUGAGGGAUGACGGCCUUCGGGUUGUAAACCUCUUUCAGUAGGGAACAAGGCCAGUGUUUAGCUGGUUGAGGGUACUUGCAGAAGAAGCGCCGGCUAACUACGUGCCAGCAGCCGCGGUAAUACGUAGGGCGCAAGCGUUAUCCGGAAUUAUUGGGCGUAAAGAGCUCGUAGGCGGUUUGUCGCGUCUGCCGUGAAAGUCCGGGGCUCAACCCCGGAUCUGCGGUGGGUACGGGCAGACUAGAGUGAUGUAGGGGAGACUGGAAUUCCUGGUGUAGCGGUGAAAUGCGCAGAUAUCAGGAGGAACACCGAUGGCGAAGGCAGGUCUCUGGGCAUUAACUGACGCUGAUGAGCGAAAGCAUGGGGAGCGAACAGGAUUAGAUACCCUGGUAGUCCAUGCCGUAAACGUUGGGCACUAGGCGUGCGGGACAUUCCACGUUUUCCGCGCCG
rnacentral:rRNA from 1 species